GGUUGAUCCUGCCAGUAGUCAUAUGCUUGUCUUAAAGAUUAAGCCAUGCAUGUCUAAGUAUAAGCAUUUAUACAGCGAAACUGCGAAUGGCUCAUUAAAUCAGUUAUAGUUUAUUUGAUGGUAUUUUUACUUGGAUAACCGUAGUAAUUCUAGAGCUAAUACAUGAUAUAAGCCCCGACUUUUUGGGAGGGGUGUACUUAUUAGAUACCAAACCAAUCUGGGGCAACCCAGCAUACGUUGACUCAUAAUAAUUUUUCGAAUCGCAUGGUCUCGCACCGGCGAUGCAUCAUUCA
rnacentral:rRNA from 1 species